GUCGGGGAGAACACAAGGUUUCACAAAUGGUAUGGUAUAAGGGGCAGUGUCGGGGAGAACACUUCAUGUGACAUGGAUCUCCAAGGACUGGAACUGUGCUGCUGGAAGUGUCUACUGGGGUUAGACUGUCUCUUCCCGUUCUGCCAAAUGUUGGCGUAAGAUGGAAUAAACUUCUUCCCCAUUGCUGUU